ACGUUAAAGCAACCAAAGAAGUAAAAGUUCUAUUUUCAAUUAUUAACAAUGCAGUUUCUAAUUUUCAGUAUCUUAAUUCUACUUGCAGCUUUUAGCUUUAUUGACGUCUCAGCUGACAGUGCUGAUUCGUCAAUGAACAUUGUAAUGAAUACAUUCAUGCAGGUUUGGUCACUAUUAAAAAAAUUACUAAAUUUAGCCGUCUAGUUCCAGUUUUUUGAAAAAUCCAUUGCAAAACUAAUAUAUUUAAAUGUUUCUAAACAAUCGUAUGGCAAUAUGUAGUUUAAAUUGUAAAAUAAUUGAAUUGGUGUUUUCUUUGUCAUAUUCUUUA